GCUUUAAACUCACAAUAUGAAACCGAAAACCUAAUUAGAUUUCUGGGAUAAUUCGAGUGGUUUUCAUAACCAUUAUGGAUGACUAUUGACUUACACAACAGUAACACAAGCACUCUGCAGUCAUUAUUUCAUUAUUACAUGAGUGCAUGCUAGUCAUUACUAGAUGGUACUAGACCAUAUUGCCACAGGUCGCAGCCUGUAUCCAGCAGUGUAGAAAAAAGUUUACGUAUCAUAUUCAACUUGGGAAACACAUGCACCCAUGUGUUGAAUCCUAACAAGGACACAAAGGGACAUUUAGAUAAGGAAAGAAACAUUUGUUCCCAUUUGUAAAAUCAUGCUUUAUUCGUUCAACACUUCACAUAAUGCAUUGGCAAAUAUCUUAGCAUCUGCCUCUGAGACAAACAUGUUUCUUUUAUUGUUGUUAUUCUGUUAUUGAAGGCAUUGAUCCAAAUGAGCACGACUUUGACAAGAUGGCAAGCACUUGUAUCUAAAUUCGAGGUAAAUCACAUCGGUGAGUCAUCUCCAGGAUCCUGACUUAACCUCUCAGCUCCGGCUCCAUCAAUGUUCAUCACUAGACUGAAAUGUCCUCAGUCAAUAUCGCUGUCUCUAAUCACCAAAUGUGAUGACAGCGGGGAAGCAGCCGGAGCAGCAGAAGGUGACAGGAGUUGGCAGGAGGUGCUGUGUCUGUCUAUGCAGAUCUGGUUAGCCAUCCACAAGGGACAGUUGGCAUGGUUCAUUCGCCAGAGUCCAUGGAGCACAAAACGUGAGCAAAGUUCCUCAUCAAGGCCAAGGGUUUGACUAAUGAGAAGCAUGAGAAACCAGGGCCUGCCAGUUUCAGUACGGUGGUGUGAGGAAUUGAGAACAAGCUGUACGGACUGCAAAGGUUAUGCAUACAGUUUUGUUUGAUUCAGUAAUUUUUUUAAGCUAAGCAAAAAAAACAAAUAAUUAUUAAAAGUUUGAAUUUAGUUUUAGAUACAGAUAACACUCUAUGGGCCGGUUUUGGAGACAGGGCUUAAAUCAAGACUGGAGUAGGCCUAAGUCAGACUAGUUAAUUCUGGCUAUUUAAGUGGCUUGCAUGAACAUGGCAUAAAUUUGGCUUAGUUAGUCUGAGACUAUGGAGUCCUGGAGUAAGCUUAAUGAGAACACCUGGUUCAAGCCUCAUUAGACUAAGUGGAAGCACAGGCUGUUGGUCCAAUUGUGCUCAUGAAAACCUGAAAUGGAGUAUGAAACACCAUUGUUGCAGUGAAUUUUGAGACAACACAAUGGCAGAGGCAAAGAGAAUUCGCUCCAAAAAUUAUAGUGAGCAUGAAAAAACACUACUAAAACUAAUUGUAUCGAACCAUCCAGUCAUUGAAAGCAAACUCCAUACUGCUGCUAUUGAACAGAAGAAAAGAAGUGCUUGGACUGCAAUUGGCAAUGAAUUCAAUGCAAAUGAAGAUGUCACCACAAGAACAGUACAACAACUGCAGGUUCUAUGGAAGAACAUUAAACUGGGAUUAAAAAAAGAGAAUGCAGCAAGCAGAAGAGAGCGAUUUAUUACAGGUGGUGGACCACCAAUAAAGGACACAUGUGAUGAAUUGGGUGACCUGCUGUCUGGUAUAAUAGAGCACCAGCAACCUCUGGAUGGUAUACCAGACAAGUAUACCGGACCAUUUGGACAGUGAACAUGGAGAACUGAGCACAAAUGAGGAAACCAAUCAAGAACCAGUUCACAACGAGCCUGAACCCUCCACAUCUGCUAUGGCAUCCCUGGGAGAUGAAGCUGCUACCAUCCAACAGAGACCAAAAAAGAUAACUAUGCAUGAAAAGUUAGCCAGAGAAUUUCAUGAGCGUAACAUUGAAUAUUUAAAAGAAGAACAUGAAAUGAAAAUGAGAAUUCUAGAGGUUGAACUGGAUAUGAAAUUGGGAGAGAGGGCCAUGCUCCAAAAAAGAAUUCUACAUACCAGUAGUCAUGGUGAAUAUGAGGAAUUGUGAAAAAUAAAAAUAAAUGUA